UUGAACGCUGGCGGCAUGCCUUACACAUGCAAGUCGAACGGUAACAGGUCUUCGGAUGCUGACGAGUGGCGAACGGGUGAGUAAUACAUCGGAACGUGCCCGAUCGUGGGGGAUAACGCAGCGAAAGCUGUGCUAAUACCGCAUACGAUCUACGGAUGAAAGCAGGGGACCGCAAGGCCUUGCGCGGACGGAGCGGCCGAUGGCAGAUUAGGUAGUUGGUGGGAUAAAAGCUUACCAAGCCGACGAUCUGUAGCUGGUCUGAGAGGACGACCAGCCACACUGGGACUGAGACACGGCCCAGACUCCUACGGGAGGCAGCAGUGGGGAAUUUUGGACAAUGGGGGAAACCCUGAUCCAGCCAUGCCGCGUGCAGGAUGAAGGCCUUCGGGUUGUAAACUGCUUUUGUACGGAACGAAAAGGCUCUGGUGAAUACCUGGGGCUCAUGACGGUACCGUAAGAAUAAGCACCGGCUAACUACGU
rnacentral:rRNA from 1 species